AUGGACGCUGGCGGCGUGCCUAAUACAUGCAAGUCGAGCGAACAGACGAGGAACUUGCUCCUCUGACGUUAGCGGCGGACGGGUGAGUAACACGUGGAUAACCUACCUAUAAGACUGGGAUAACUUCGGGAAACCGGAGCUAAUACCGGAUAAUAUAUUGAACCGCAUGGUUCAAUAGUGAAAGACGGUUUUGCUGUCACUUAUAGAUGGAUCCGCGCCGCAUUAGCUAGUUGGUAAGGUAACGGCUUACCAAGGCAACGAUGCGUAGCCGACCUGAGAGGGUGAUCGGCCACACUGGAACUGAGACACGGUCCAGACUCCUACGGGAGGCAGCAGUAGGGAAUCUUCCGCAAAGGGCGAAAGCCUGACGGAGCAACGCCGCGUGAGUGAUGAAGGUCUUCGGAUCGUAAAACUCUGUUAUUAGGGAAGAAUAAAUGUGUAAGUAACUAUGCACGUCUUGACGGUACCUAAUCAGAAAGCCACGGCUAACUACGUG
rnacentral:rRNA from 1 species